AGAUAUUUCCUUUGUGUAAGUUUGAUAUCUGAAACUACCUAUCAGUGCAGCUCUGAACCAAAGAGGAAUUUUAAUGGUUCCACAUCCUUCCAUAUAUGGAGUGGAAGAGAGACUGACAGGGAAAUCUGGGAGUUCACAUUUUAGCUCCGCCUCUUCUCCAAGAGCCACCCAUUUAUGCUAUUAAUUGGAUACUAGCCUCUCUACUUAUCAUAACUUCAGCCACUAGUAUGCAGCACUGCAUGGUGUGUGUGUUUUUUUACAAGCUGGAGGAGGUUGAUUUUGUUUUUUGUAAAAAUGCACAAUUUAUGCUGCUUGUGCAUAAUAUUUUACCAACCAACUAGUUAUCAUCCACUUACAGGAAAGAGUUCAGAUGUUAUUUACGCCUGGUGGAUGUUUCACUGAUGAAGGGAAGGAAUAAGACUGUGCAUGUGUGCAGACGAUGUGAUUGCAAGAAAUUCAAAAUACUUCCAAAGAGGUGACCUUGGGAUUUGGUAAUGGAGUAAUUGAAAGAGGGAAAGCUCACCCUGUUGUUUUCUUAACCUGAACCUUUUGCUUUUCAGCACCUCCUUUUAUUUUAAGGUCUUCAUGAUGAUCCGGACAAGGAUACUUCUAACAGAGUGAAUGGCACCAGGAUGACGUAGAAGUUAUAAACGGUUUUUAUAUACUUUCAAGUCAUUCAAGAUAGAAUUAAAACUAUAAAAUGCAACAGUGUACUUGGUGAACUCUGCACCUUACAGAUAUAAGGUGCCGAGAGAUGAAAGUCUUAAGGAAAGCUACCAGUAUUCACUCUGAGGGUGUUCGCGGGUUGAGGUAGUAGGUUGUAUAGUUGAGAACUACAUCUUUGGGGAGAACUGUACAGCCUGCUAACUUUCCCUGGGUCAUCCCAAACCGCCCAGAAAAUCAUCCUUCUCACGUGAUAUUUCAGAUUCUAUUUCCUUACUACACGUGGAGCUGCAGUGUGUUUUUAGGUGAAAACUAAAUUUUACUCAUUACAGUAUUUCUGGACAUUAAAACCCAACUAAGUGUUAAGAAGAAUAACUUAUCUGUCGUAAAUUGCAGACGCCAUUUUUUACAGUUGCAUAUCAUGUAUCUGUGCAAACGUUUAGAAGUAACCGUUUUUGUUUUCCAGAGGAGUAGUUUCAUAAUUUACUCAUUAAAUGUUCUAGAAUGUUCGUGACGGCUUAUAACAUUAGCAUCAAGCUAUUUGAUUUAUGUACUGAACUAAGAUUCUUGGUUUGUUAAGAUAAAUAUAUUCAAAAAAUAAAAUGAAAUAAAAAUGAAACGUAUUUGAUAUGGUUUAUUCAAAAUAGUCCUGGCUAUAUUAACUGUAAAAUUUUACCGAUAGCAAAGUCAAGGUCACUGAUUGCACUGGUUGUAUUUUUUUAUCUCUGUCGCAAAUAAAAUAUCUGUAAGA
rnacentral:lncRNA from 1 species